rnacentral:rRNA from 1 species
AGUGAACGCUGGCGGUAGGCCUAACACAUGCAAGUCGAACGGCAGCACAGUAAGAGCUUGCUCUUACGGGUGGCGAGUGGCGGACGGGUGAGGAAUACAUCGGAAUCUACUUUUUCGUGGGGGAUAACGUAGGGAAACUUACGCUAAUACCGCAUACGACCUACGGGUGAAAGCAGGGGAUCUUCGGACCUUGCGCGAUUGAAUGAGCCGAUGUCGGAUUAGCUAGUUGGCGGGGUAAAGGCCCACCAAGGCGACGAUCCGUAGCUGGUCUGAGAGGAUGAUCAGCCACACUGGAACUGAGACACGGUCCAGACUCCUACGGGAGGCAGCAGUGGGGAAUAUUGGACAAUGGGCGCAAGCCUGAUCCAGCCAUACCGCGUGGGUGAAGAAGGCCUUCGGGUUGUAAAGCCCUUUUGUUGGGAAAGAAAAGCAGCAGGUUAAUACCCUGCUGUUCUGACGGUACCCAAAGAAUAAGCACCGGCUAACCUCGUG